GGAAGAAGGAAUCUGCUGAACUAAACUAAGUUAUGAUCCCAAACAGAAAAGACAGAGCAGAGAUCACCAUUCACUUGAGGAGGAGCUCCCAGGAUUUGGCUCUGGCAGGAAGCAAUACAGUGUGUCCAGGAAGAAGAGGCUGGGAAGCAUCUGGAAGCAGGAAGAGAACAUUGUGGUGGAGGCUGAGGAAGAGAAGAGAGGAUGACAUGAUUUCCCCAUAGCACCCAGCCAAUUUACUUUUCAGUACUCCUGCACUGGAUUCUGUACUGCAAUCCAAAUAGGUAAGGUGCUCCAG
rnacentral:lncRNA from 12 species